AAACAUAAUACAUUGUUGUUAAUAAUUUAAUUUAUUGUAAAACAAAAUCAGAAGCCUUUGUGCAAGUACAUGAGCACUAAAAAGUUGAAAUUACUCUUUUAUCAGUUCAAUUUCACAUCAUAUUCAGCUUUCGAACAAGACGUAAAAUAUUGCUUAAAAGUAAAACUGAAGCGGAUUCAGUUAAUCACAGUCACGCGCAUGAGUGUCUGGCGGCGGCGCACGGCUUCGGACGUUAUCACGCCAUUCAGUGGUUCAUUAUGAGCGGGUAUCAGCCCGUACUGUACGUAUGGGCCGGUAGGUGCCAACUUACCUACUGGCAGCGGUGAGUAGGUCGCUGUCAUCUAUUCGUGAGGUGGAUCACAGCGCGCACGUGUAAACCAACGGAACCAGUAGGGGCGCUGUUGAGCGGCUGUUCAGACUGGACUGUUUUUGAUAUCGAUUAUAUUAUCGAGCGCAACUUAGCCGCUAGCUAGCUGUGUCGUGUUAGCUUACCCCAACCUUAACCGCAAUAACGCCCGAAGAUGCUGAACGUAGCAAUUAGCUUGCUGCUAUCUGUUAGCUAGUAGGUAGAGCACGCGCCUACUGGCCCGUGCGUAUGGGCUGAUCACUACUGAUCAUGGACAUGUGAUUACGGUGAUAACGUCCGAAGCGGGUGCGGCCUGACAGCGGCUGAAGUCACCUGGCUGAAGAUGGGGAAGAAGCUCAGAGCAUUCACUCAGGCUUUUAGGAGGAGGAAGAGGGUUCAGUCUGCAUCAGCGAACUACGUGCAAGACGCACCGGAGCAGGAAGAGGUCAUCCCCCUACAACUGAACCACAUCCAUGAGACAGAUCAGCAGGAGGUGCAGGAGACGGUGCCGUGUAGGAACCUCUCUGAGCUCCUUCAGAUGCGUCCUGGUUCAGACGUCAACACAUCGGUGGAUGGAGUCCCUUGUCUAGAAUGCACUGACUCACACUCAGAGCAACAAAACCAGAAGCAAGGUGGCAAUUGCCUUGUUCAGUUAUAUGUAUCCCAGCAGUUCCCAGAACCACCAGAGAAUCUGAACCAGAACCUUCAUCAGCACCUGCAGAACAUCCAGAGCGCUGUGCUCAACGAGCUCACGAGGCUGAGUCGUGUGUUGGAUGAGCGUCUGAUGGGUCAUCUGAUCAACUGCUACCAUAGACAGACAUUUAACCAGAUGCAUCGUCUGCUGCAGAACAUCAGCUCCACCCAGAACCACUUUGUGCUGAUGAUGUGGGUCCUGAAAACCUACCUGAGUCAGGAGCUGCUCGGACACCCUGACCUUCAAAAAGUAGAUCCCAUCAAAAGCAUAGACCUGCUGCUGUUUACAGAGUGGGAAGCGAAGGCCAGAGACAAACUGCUUCAGAGCGUGCAUGAAGAAGUCGCCGAGUCUCUGGAGAACAUCCUGCUCAAUGAGAAAACCCAUGAACAAUGCAACAGUGAGGAGGAUUAUGUCAGAGUCUUCGUGGACACCAUUCAGUGCAUCAAAGCUGUGCACAAAGCAGCACAACAAAUCAGCUCAAAGCUGUCUGAUGAUGUUCAGAACGUUUGUUUUCAGCAGCUGCUGGUUUUUGUAAAGAGGUACUCAGACGAGCAGACUGAGGGUCUUGGAAAGAAAGCAGUGAUGCCAGAACCAGAAACAAUUCAAUUCUUAAAGACUCUGAAAACCUGUAAAGAACUCAAACAACACGUUCAAGUUGAAGCUGCUGGAGCUUCGUAUUCAGGGGAAAUUGUUAAAACACUGGACAAGCUGGAGGUUUUCACUCUGAACCUGCUCCUGGACAUCGUCAAUAAAAUGGCAGAGGCUAACCUCAGCACGUACUUCAAAUCAGACAGCAAGUGUUUCUCCUUGCUUCCUGCAGUACAGAAACGGUUUCCAAAGCAGUGCUAUGGUGCAGAUGAACAGAAGAGGGUUUUGAACAAGGCCUACAAGCUCAUAGUUCAGAUUUAUGUCAAACAUCUGAUCAAGACCAACAAGCGUCAACUGGAGAGUUGUUGGAAUCCUGACGUCAGCAAAACCAUCGGUGAAGAUGCUCAUGGAAUUCACAGCAUCAUGUCAGAGCUGGCCCCCGACGUUCCACAGCAGAACCGACUACUGCUGAAGGUCAAGGAGCUGUUGGACUGCGAGUGCAACGAGGCGCUGAAGCUCACAGCUGCGACCAUCCAGGAAGACUUUGGCAAGGACCCAGAGCUCCUGCCUGCCCUGCUCAAGUGGAAGGGCCUUCCUAAAGGGCAGGUGAGGGAGGUGCUGGAGACCAUUCAACACGACUACCACCACCAGUCCUGUUGCUCAUCUGUGAAAUGCUGGUAAAGACAACAGGAGGGGGGUGGUGGUUACUCCUGGUGGACUCCCUACAGACCGGGGUCCUCGGGUUCCCCUCUCCCAGGCUGGGAGUGUUUGCCUCUGGGUCUCCUGGGCUGCUGCAGCUCUGCCCGGGGGUUCUGUGUUCUGUUCCCUCCUGGAACUGAAGGUGUGUGGGCUCCCUGGCUACUGGGUUUCCUCCCUGUGCUCGUUGACUGUGUGUAGCGACUGGGUUCCUCCCAUCAUCACGGCUUGUACAUGUGGCAUUGUUCAUGCACCAACGUCUGUCUCACCUUUUGGGUGAACAAUGUUAAGCUACAGCUUUACUAACCUUGUAGUGGGACGCUCAACACCUCAGCUGAUAAACAGGCUUUGUAAACUUAGCUGUAAGUAUUACUGGUACUUAUCACCAUCAAUAUCAAUAAUGUGUAAUUAUGGUAGUUGUGAUGUUAUGUCACAGCUAUUAUUAAGUAUUAUGCGAUUAUGUAUAAUAAUAUUUAUGCAUAGAUGUGUAUGUACAGUAUAUUAUAUAUGUCUGUAUGCACAAGUGUAUGCACACGCCUUAACACAAGUAUUAAUAGUAAUUUAACAGUUAAAGCACAGUACAGCAGUUAUUUACUUAUGAACGUGUCCGCCUAAGGUAUUUAUUUAUUUAUUUAUUUACUCUAUUUACUGUAUUUCCUAUUUUUUUGCUUCAUUGAUUCGCUUGGUCUCAGUAGGUUUUGCACUCUCUCUACUACUUCCUCUGUAGACUCACAUCCUUCCCAGAUUAGCUGGAAUUACAAUAAAAUGACAGGACCUUGGCUUAAUGACGACUGU
ensembl:lncRNA uncharacterized LOC114849018